rnacentral:rRNA from 1 species
UACAGAGGUCCCGAGCGUUGUUCGGAUUUAUUGGCGUAAAGAGCGUGUAGGCGGCUUUACAGGUCCGUUGUGAAACUCGAGGCUCAACCUCGAGACGCCGGUGGAAACCGUAAAGCUAGAGUCCGGAAGAGGAGAGUGGAAUUCCUGGUGUAGCGGUGAAUGCGCAGAUAUCAGGAAGAACACCCGUGGCGAAGGCGGCUCUCUGGGACGGUACUGACGCUGAGACGCGAAAGCGUGGGAGCGAACAGG